rnacentral:lncRNA from 1 species
UGAAUGUGGUGAUAAUGAAUAUGCAAAAAAGAUAUUGAUUAUAAAAAAGAGGUGGUGCCUAAGGAGAUGAUAAAUACAAAACACAGUGUGGAGUUAGUGAUGAUUGUAUUGUAACGUUGACGGAGGGCAAGGUGGUGGGGAUUGAAGAAGAGCAGUGGUAGUUGAUAAUCAAAGAAGAAGAAGGUAUUUUGAUCUUUCAUUGACCAGAUACUAGGGGUAAUAUAGUAUAUAUAUUACAUAAAUAAUUGAGGUUUUUUUUUGUUAGAUAUUUAAUGGACUUAUUUGAGAACUAGCCAUAUUUCAGCAACAAAUUAGAAAAUGUCAUUAAUUUUGACAUAAUGUAAUUUCUAACAUUUAUGCCACAAAGUACCCGGUUUUAUUUUUUCUCUUUACAGGUAUCAGGUAAAUGUGGCCAAUAUAAUAUAUACGGUCAAGAGCACCUGAAAACUAUUCCAAAUAAAAGAAGGAGAAGCCAUCCACGUAUAACUUUAUUGAUCACAUACAUAUGCACCGAGUAUUCUUUUCAUAUUACCGAAGUAGUCUAGAAUUAUAACCCCACCUAUAACCCUAAAUACUAAACAUAUCUCAACCCCUAGAUACUAAACAUUAUCUCAAUCCCACCCCAGCCCCUAAAUAUUAAACUCUAAACUCUAAUCAGUAAACUCUAAACCCAAAUAUAAACCCAAAACCGAAAUAGAAUGGAACAAAAUAAAUAACAACAUUACAUGUUGGUGAAAUUAUGAAACGUCUAUAAUUGCAUGGAAGAAGUUAAUGUUGACCCCAACCAUAACCUCUCACCUUAUAAAUAAUAAACCCAAAACUCUAAUCACUAAAUAUUUACCCAUAUAUAAAUCCUAAACCGAAAUAUAAACCCUAAGACGAAAUUGAAUAGAACAAAAUAAAUAACAAAGUACAUAUUAGUGAAAUUAUGAAAUGUCUAUGAUUACAUGGAAGAAGUUAAUGCUGACCCCAACCAUACCCCCUCACCUUCUAAAUACUAAAUCAUAAACUCUACUCACUAAACCCUAACCCAAAUAUGAACCC